rfam:Canis lupus familiaris chromosome 1, whole genome shotgun sequence.
GUGCUUGCUUUGGGAGUACAUAUACUAAGAUUGGCACAAUACAGAGGUUACCAUGCCCUACUCAAGGGUGACAUGCAAAUUCAUGAAUCAUUCCAUAUUUAA